AUGAACGCUGGCGGCGUGGAUAAGGCAUGCAAGUCGGACGAUUUCCUUUUUUGAAGAAGAUGCGAUUACAUCAAGUCAACUGAUAUUUUGGAGAUAGUGGCGAACGAGCUAGUAACACCUUGGUACGUACCCAAAAGUUUGGUAUAGCUCGCCGAAAGGCGGGGUAAUCCCAAAUAAUCCCUCUAUCUAUCGGAUAGAAGGGUAAAGUCGCAAGACGCUUUUUGGAGCGGCCUAGGACCGAUCAGUUAGUUGGUGAGGUAAUGGCUCACCAAGACGAUGACCGGUAGGG
rnacentral:rRNA from 1 species